GGUGCCAAGCAACAACUUCUCAUUUUCACUGGCUAACAGAUGCUGGGAUCUUUUAGAGAAGUAAGGAGUAUACCGGGAUUUAUUUCGCUUCGACAAGGACAUGAUGAAGUUGGACAAAAAUGAAAAGGUACUUGCAAGAGGAUUGCCUAGUAUCCACCAUGUGAACGACACUAAUAUGGUUAUAUCCUACAUAAGAGGUCCUCUUCUCUUCGUAUUUAACUUUCACCCCAUGGAUUCAUAUGAAAGAUACUGCGUUGGUGUG